rnacentral:rRNA from 1 species
AAACGAUGUCGAUUUGGAGGUUGUGCCCUGAGGCGUGGCUUCCGGAGCUAACGCGUUAAAUCGACCGCUGGGGAGUACGGCCGCAAGGUUAAAACUCAAAUGAAUUGACGGGGGCCCGCACAAGCGGUGGAGCAUGUGGUUUAAUUCGAUGCAACGCGAAGAACCUUACCUACUCUUGACAUCCAGAGAAUUUAGCAGAGAUGCUUUAGUGCCUUCGGGAACUCUGAGACAGGUGCUGCAUGGCUGUCGUCAGCUCGUGUUGUGAAAUGUUGGGUUAAGUCCCGCAACGAGCGCAACCCUUAUCCUUUGUUGCCAGCGAUUCGGUCGGGAACUCAAAGGAGACUGCCAGUGAUAAACUGGAGGAAGGUGGGGAUGACGUCAAGUCAUCAUGGCCCUUACGAGUAGGGCUACACACGUGCUACAAUGGCGUAUACAAAGAGAAGCGACCUCGCGAGAGCAAGCGGACCUCAUAAAGUACGUCGUAGUCCGGAUUGGAGUCUGCAACUCGACUCCAUGAAGUCGGAAUCGCUAGUAAUCGUAGAUCAGAAUGCUACGGUGAAUACGUUCCCGGGCCUUGUACACACCGCCCGUCACACCAUGGGAGUGGGUUGCAAAAGAAGUAGGUAGCUUAACCUUCGGGAGGGCGCUUACCACUUUGUGAUUCAUGACUGGGGUGAAGUCGUAACAAGGUAACCAAGGGCGAAUUCCAG